AUGGGCCGUGUUGGUAGGGAGCUUCGCGUAAUGCAUGAUGUUCUGUGUCAGAUGGACAUUCGUAGUCGCAACAAUCAAGUACAUGAGGGCUGGUUGGAGGAGGUACGGAAAGUAGCAUAUGUGAUGGAGGACAUGGUGGAUGAGUACUCGUAUCUUGUUGGUCGGGAACAUGAUAUUGGUUGUUGUUUUUUUCUAAAGAAGGGUUUCAAGAAGCCAGGAUCUCUGCUUUCUUUGAGCAAGAUAGCUUUCAAGGUGAAGGAAAUAGAGAAAGACCUUUCACACCUAUCAGAUACAAAAAACCAUUGGGUUGCCACAAUAAGCAAUGGGGAUGCAAGCAACUCACAUUACAUUGUCAAGAGAUCCCAAGAUCUGGCAAACAUCUCACGCUCUCUUGAUGAAGAAGAUCUAGUGGGGGUGGACGAAAACAGAGAAAAACUCGAGCAAUGGUUGGCAGGUGAUGAUAUGGAAUGCUCUGUGAUAAGCCUUCUUGGAAUGGGUGGUCUUGGUAAAACUGCUUUAGCUGCAAAUGUCUACAAGAAGGAGAGGGAGAAAUUCCAGUGUCAUGCUUGGGUCUCCAUCUCUCAAACUUAUUCUGGAGAAGUUAUAUUGAGAAAUAUAACCAAGGAACUUUUUAAAGAUAAUGUCAGUGUUCUAUCUAGCACCCUGGAUAUGGACAUCAUUAGCCUUGAAGAGACACUAAAGAAAUAUCUGGAGGAAAGGAAGUACUUGAUCAUAUUGGAUGAUGUUUGGGAUCCGGAAGCAUUUCAUGAUUUGUCAAGGAUGUUUACUCAUAAUGAUAGGGGCAGUAGAGUGAUGCUUACAAUAAGGGAAGUCCGCGUCGCCACACUUGCUUCUCCAGGACAUAUCUUAACACUAGAAGCUUUACCCGAAGACAAGGCAUGGGACCUCUUUUGUAAGAAAGCCUUUCUAAGAGAUACAAAUCAUAAAUGUCCUACAGAGUUGAAGCCAUUAUCCGAGGAAAUAGUUGGCAAGUGCAAAGGCUUUCCUCUUGCUAUUGUGUCAAUUGGCAGCCUCUUGCGUGUGCGUGAGAAAACCAUGGAAGAAUGGAGAAGAAUAAAUGACCAACUGAGUUGGGAGAUGAUUAAUAAUUCGAAGCUUGACCACAUAGGAAUAUUUUGUACCUGA
rnacentral:rRNA from 1 species